ACUGCUCAGUAACACGUGGCUAAUCUGCCCUUGGGACUAGAACAACCCCGGGAAACUGGGGCUAAAUCUAGAUAGGUGAAGAACUCUGGAAUGAGUCUUUGCCUAAAUAGGUUCACGUUAUCCUCGUGAACUUGCCCAAGGAUGAGGCCGCGACCGAUCAGGUUGUUGGCGAGGUAAUGGCUCACCAAGCCUUUUACCGGUGCGGGCCGUGGGAGCGGGAGCCCGGAGAUGGGUACUGAGACAAGGACCCAGGCCCUACGGGGCGCAGCAGUCGCGAAACCUUUGCAAUACACGAAAGUGUGACAGGGCUAUCCCGAGUGCCAUCCGCUGAGGAAGGCUUUUACCCAGUCUAGAACGCUGGGGGAAUAAGGAGAGGGCAAGUCUGGUGUCAGCCGCCGCGGUAAUACCAGCUCUCCGAGUGGUGUGGAUGUUUAUUGGGCCUAAAGCAUCCGUAGCUGGCUAGGUAAGUCCCUUGUUAAAUCCACCGAAUUAAUCGUUGGAUCGCGGGGGAUACUGCUUGGCUAGGGGACGAGAGAGGCAGACGGUAUUUUCGGGGUAGGGGUGAAAUCCUAUAAUCCCGGGAAGACCACCAGUGGCGAAGGCUGUCUGCUAGAACGCGCCCGACGGUGAGGGAUGAAAGCUGGGGGAGCGAACCGGAUUAGAUACCCGGGUAGUCCCAGCUGUAAACGAUGCAGACUAGGUGUUUGGACGGCCACGUGCCGUUCUAGUGCCGCAGGGAAGCUGUUAAGUCUGCCGCCUGGGGAGUACGAUCGCAAGAUUGAAACUUAAAGGAAUUGGCGGGGGAGCAC
rnacentral:rRNA from 1 species